rnacentral:rRNA from 1 species
AUGUGUAUUCCGAAUGAAGGGGGUAUGGGGUUUAGAGACCUUCACAGUUUCAACCUUGCUAUGUUAGCAAAACAGUGUUGGCGACUUCUCCAAAACCCAGAUUCUCUGUGUGCAUGUGUUCUCAGUGCUAAGUACUAUCCAAACAAAGAUAUAUUAAGUGUCGAACCAAAGAAGGGCUCAUCAUAUACUUGGCAGAGUAUUGUCUCGGGCAUCCAAACUUUUAAAAGGGGGUGUGUAUGGCGGGUAGGUACUGGCUCUAAGAUUGAUAUCUGGCAGGACCCUUGGAUACGCACAAGUGAAACAAGAAAAGUUAUCACCCCUAGAGGAGCUAAUAUGCUUGACAAAGUAGAAGAGUUAAUUGCUCCACACUCUGGGCACUAG